GUAAAUAAUUAAGGGCGUAUGGUGGAUGCCUAGGCUCUCAGAGGCGAAGAAGGACGUGAUAAGCUGCGAAAAGCUCCGUUUAGGUGCAAAUAACCUUUGAUGCGGAGAUCUCCGAAUGGGAUAACCCAAUAUGUUGAAGACAUAUUAUACCGUAAGGUAGGCAAACGCAGGGAACUGAAACAUCUAAGUACCUGCAGGAGAAGAAAACAAACGUGAUUCCCCCAGUAGCGGCGAGCGACCGGGGAAAAGCCCAAACCGUUAUUGUUUCGGCAUUAACGGGGUAGUAGGACUGCAAGCUUGAUGAAAUAAAUGAAAUGGAACACCUUGGAAAAUGUGAUCACAGAGGGUGAUAAUCCCGUACAUGCAAGUUUAUGAAUCAUAGCAGUAUCCUGAGUAAGUCGGGACACGUGUAAUCCUGACCGAAUCCGCCGGGACCAUCCGGCAAGGCUAAAUACUCCUGAGAGACCGAUAGUGAACCAGUACCGUGAGGGAAAGGUGAAAAGCACUUCGAACAGAAGAGUGAAAUAGUCCCUGAACCCAUACGCCUACAAGCAGUCGGAGCCGCUUCGUGCGGUGACGGCGUGCCUUUUGCAUAAUGAGCCUACGAGUUACUCAUCACCAGCGAGGUUAAGUACUUCAGGUACGUAAGCCGAAGCGAAAGCGAGUCUGAAUAGGGCGUCAAGUUGGUGGUGGUAGACGCGAAACCUUAGUGAUCUACCCAUGGGCAGGGUGAAGGUUUGGUAACACAAACUGGAGGCCCGAACCGGUAAACGUUGAAAAGUUUUCGGAUGACCUGUGGGUAGGGGUGAAAGGCCAAUCAAACUGGGAAAUAGCUCGUACUCUCCGAAAUGCAUUUAGGUGCAGCCUCUGUUGUUUUGUUCUAGAGGUAGAGCUACUGAUUGGAUGCGAGGGCUUCACCGCCUAUCAAAUCCGGCCAAACUCCGAAUGCUAGAACAUGAAGACAGGGAGUGAGCCAGCGGGUGCUAAGGUCCGUUGACGAAAGAGGGAGAACUCAGACCAUCAGCUAAGGUCCCCAAUUAUAUGCUAAGUUGGAAUUAAAACGGGGUGGGACUGCUUAGACAGCUAGGAUGUUGGCUUGGAAGCAGCCAUUCAUUUAAAGAGUGCGUAACAGCUCACUAGUCGAGCGGUCCUGCAUGGAUAAUACGCGGGCAUAAGCAUAUAACCGAAGCUAUGGGAUUGUAGAUGAUACAAUCGGUAGGAGAGCAUUCCAUUCAGCGUAGAAGCAGUAUCGUGAGGUAUUGUGGAGCGGAUGGAAAAGCAAAUGUAGGCAUAAGUAACGAUAAUGCGGGUGAGAACCCCGCACGCCGAAAGAUCAAGGAUUCCCCGGCAAUGUCAAUCAUCCGGGGGUAAGUCGGAUCCUAAGGGUAAGCCGAGUGGCGAUCCCGAUGGCAAACAGGUUAAUAUUCCUGUACUGAUCAUAACUGCGAUGCAGCGACGCAGAGGUGACACUGCUGCGUACUGACGGAAUAGUACGUUGAAACCCGUAUUCUUUGAUACCGGUAGUGAAGCACGCCGGUAGAGAUGAAAGGUGAUAGUACCGCAAUGCUUCGGUUGCGCGGAUAACGCAGGUAAGCUGACUGCCAAGAAAACCUGCUAAGCUUCAGGUAAUGAUCAUCCGUACUGUAAACGGACACACGUGAUCAGGUAGAAAAUACUAAGGCGCUCGAGAGAUUCAUGGUUAAGGAACUAGGCAAAAUGGUCCUGUAACUUCGGGAUAAAGGACGCUCUUGUGAAAGAGCCGCAGAUAAUAGGCCCAGGCGACUGUUUACCAAAAACACAUGGCUAUGCUAAUUCGCAAGAAGAUGUAUAUGGCCUGACACCUGCCCGGUGCCGGAAGGUUAAGAGGAGAGCUCAGAGGCAACUCGAAGGUUUGAAUUGAAGCCCCGGUAAACGGCGGCCGUAACUAUAACGGUCCUAAGGUAGCGAAAUUCCUUGUCGGGUAAGUUC
rnacentral:rRNA from 1 species